rnacentral:misc_RNA from 1 species
AAGUCGUAACAAGGUUUCCGUAGGUGAACCUGCGGAAGGAUCAUUAACACGUAUCCAAACGUUAAACCCCCCUGUGAACCUUCACCUGUACUCGUACGUCCGUUAGAAAAAGCAGCAAUCCCUGGUAAAUCAUCGCCGAACAGUUUUCGAUUCAGGGACGUCUGCAAGGAGCGUGCAUGUUGUGCGAAGCAAGUGGCCUGGCAUCCCCAAGCAGUUAGUGUCUGAAAGUGUCAUUACCUGUGUAAGGAUGACGCAGUCACGAUCGUUGGAGGCCCACACGGCCGACGACCGGGUCGCUGGGCGCAAGCCCCCCUAUAACAAACCCCCUGCCAAUCGCGGCCGCGAUAAUACGCAGUCGACCAAAAACCGAACAACUGUUAACAAUGGAUAUCUUGGUUCUC